AAGGCAAACAUCACAUAACAGCUGUAAAUCAUACUGAAUCUGAAAACAAGCGAAGAAACCCAUGUUCUGUCAUAACAGCGAAAGGCACUGAGAUCCCACCAGAACUGGGAGCCCUGCAGAUGUGCAAUGGAAGAACACCCGGUGACAGCAAGUGACCCAACCGCAGACUGCUGUGUGUUGACCAAGGGUGAUGCCAGAAGAAGAGGUGGGCUCCAAAAGAGGCUGCUGAUUGCAGUCUCCGCCAUCAGAUACCUUUUUCAUUCCUAAUCUCUAUGGCUUGCAGCGUUGGACUUCCCUGGACAGUUGGAAAGGGGUGAGUGAUUCAUUCAUCCUUACCAGAAGGUGAUCUCUGCUGGUCUUGUCUUGUUUCCAACAGGUGGCAGUGGAGUUUUACAUCCCUCCCGAGCGGUGCAAGGACUCUGCUGAGGCUCUUGGGGAACACAGCAGGAACCCACAGCCAGAGAUGGACGCCAGGAUCCGCUCCUUCCUGUGUCUGGCAAGCUCUGUUGACCACUGAGGUCAUUCCCACGCUUGCAGUGGUCCUAUGGACUUGGUGUCGGUUGUCCCUUGUGCUCACCAUGCUGUCACCGGGUGUUCUUCCUUUGCCCAUCUGUAGGGCUCCCCUGUUCUGGUGGAAUCUCAGUGUCUUCUGUUGAUCCCAGGGUACUUUGAUUUGUUCUUUUCUUUUCAGGUUCUGUACCAUUUUAUGCUUUUAUGCUGUGUUUUUCUUCCUUCCUUUUGUUUUACAGGCUGAAAAUGGACGCCUGAUGGUAUCUAUGAUGCCCCAAAUGCAAUCUUGUAAGGUUUGGCCAAGUGUGGUGGGAAAGGAAGAGGAUUGCAGAGACGACCACCGGGUGCCAUUUGCACUUCCUGACCUCCCUGGGUGGUAGCGUUGGAAGUGCCUGGACCCUUGGAAAGGGCUAAGUGAUUCCUUCAUUAUUACCUGAAUGCAGUUUGUGUUCAACAGGUGUCGGUGGAGAACUGCGCCCUUUUGAUGGGCGCAAAGAGUGUAUUGUGACUCUAGGUGGGCAAAACAGGAACGCAGAGCCAGAGAUGGACACCAAGAUGCAUUCCUUCCUCUGUCUGGCAAGCUUUCUUGACCCUGAGGUGGCUCCCACGCUUGCAGAGGGCCUUUGGGCUUGGUGUCCGUUGUCCCUUGUGCUCACUGGGCUUUCCAAGGGUGUUCCUCUUACUUGACACCACCUUUCCCACUCUCUAUUUCCAAGCAGGAGCUCCCCUUGGCCUCCGCGUCUCGCUCUGGCCAGGCAGAUGUGGUGUGCCAACGGAUCAAAGCCUUCAGAAUCCAACCAAAGGAAAUGAGGAGAGAGGCUGCCCUGGUGACCCAACCGCAGACUGCUGUGUGUUGACCAAGGGUGAUGCCAGAAGAAGAGGUGGGCUCCAAAAGAGGCUGCUGG
ensembl:lncRNA